UGCUAGCCUCUAAGAUUUAGCCAUGCAUGCUUUGUGAACCCAGACGGGGGAACGGCGAACGGCUCAGUAAUGUUGCGGUGAUCUGCUCUGGUUGAGAAAGAUAACCACGGUAAACUGUGGCUAAGAGACCAGAAUGAGCUUGCAACCCUAUCAGUUUGUUGGAAGUGUAAAAGACUCCCAAGACGUCGACGGGUAACGGGAAAUCAGUGUUUGAUUCCGGAGAGGGAGCCUGAGAGAUGGCUCCCACGUCCAAGGAUGGCAGCAGGCCGCGAAAAUUGUCCACUCUUUGGAGAGGAGACAGUUAUGAGGCGUGAUUAAAAGAGCGAAGUGUAAACACCUUCGUGUAACGCAAUUGGAGGGCAAGUUUUGGUGCCAGCAGCCGCGGUAAUUCCAACUCCAAGAGUGCCCAUGGUGGAUGCUGCAGUUAAAAAGUCCGUAGUCGUAGAUGCAAUUAAAGGGUGCGGAUCAAGCGCACUGAGUUUGUUGAGUUGUAGCGGAGCGGAUAGGGACAUGGUAUAGGUUGGCGAAGAAUGAAAUCUCAAGACCCAACCUGGACCAACUGAGGCGAAAGCGGUGCUCUUAUACGCAUCCGAGGAUCAAGGACGAAGGCUGGAGGAUCGAAAGUGAUUAGAUACCGCUGUAGUUCCAGCAGUAAACUAUGCCGACAUUCUCUGUCCAGCGGACGGGGAAGGGAGAAAUCUUAGUUUUCGGGCUCUGGGGAUAGUACGCUUGCAAGAGUGAAACUUAAAGCGAAAUUGACGGAAGGACACUACCAGGAGUGGAUUGUACUGCUUAAUUUGACUCAACGCGGGAAAACUUACCAGGGUCAAGUUCUCCGUAGAUCGAGUACGUGAGGGGAACGAGAGUGGUGCAUGGGCCGUUGGAAAUUGAUGGGAUGACUUUUAGCUUAAAUGCUGAAACCAGUGAGAUCUUCUAGACAGGUGCCCAUCCGGCACAGGAGGGCGAAGGCGAUAACAGGUCCGUGAUGCCCUUAGAUAUCCUGGGCUGCAAAUGCAAUACAAUAUCCAUGUCGAUCAAGAAAGGUGAUUAUGGAUGAGCAGGAUUAGCUC
rnacentral:rRNA from 1 species